GACAGAGGUCCCGAGCGUUGUUCGGAUUCAUUGGGCGUAAAGGGUGUGUAGGAGGUCGGGUAAGUCAGGUGUGAAAUCUCAGAGCUUAACUCUGAAACUGCGCUUGAUACUGCCCGGCUAGAGGAUCGGAGGGGGUAUCGGAAUUUAUGGUGUAGCAGUGAAAUGCGUAGAUAUCAUAAGGAACACCGGUGGCGAAGGCGGAUACCUGGAAGAUUCCUGACUCUGAAACACGAAAGCCAGGGGAGCAAACGGG
rnacentral:rRNA from 3 species